UACGUAGGGGGCGAGCGUUGUCCGGAUUUACUGGGCGUAAAGAGCGUGUAGGCGGCCAAGCAGGUCUGUUGUGAAAACUGGAGGCUCAACCUCCAGACGCCGACAGAAACCGUCUGGCUAGAGUCCGGAAGAGGAGAGUGGAAUUCCUGGUGUAGCGGUGAAAUGCGCAGAUAUCAGGAAGAACACCGAUGGCGAAGGCAGCUCUCUGGGACGGUACUGACGCUGAGACGCGAAAGCGUGGGGAGCAAACAGG
rnacentral:rRNA from 1 species